rnacentral:rRNA from 1 species
UCAUGAAAGCCGUUUGUACCCGAAGUCACCGUGCUAACUCGCAAGAGAGGCAGGUGCCGAAGGUAUGGAUGGUGAUUGGGAGUG